CUACGGGCCGCUCCAGUGGGGAAUAUUGGACAAUGGGGGAAACCCUGAUCCAGCAAUGCCGCGUGUGUGAAGAAGGCCUGCGGGUUGUAAAGCACUUUCGGUUGGGAGGACUGCUUCUAGCACUAAUAUUGUUGGAAGUUGACGUUACCUUCAGAAGAAGCACCGGCUAACUCCGUGCCAGCGAGCCGCGGUAAUACGGGGGGUGCAAGCGUUAAUCGGAAUUACUGGGCGUAAAGCGCGCGUAGGCGGCUUGAUCAGUCGGGUGUGAAAGCCCCGGGCUUAACCUGGGAACUGCAUCCGAUACUGUCUAGCUUGAGUACAGGAGAGGAGAGUGGAAUUCCACAUGUAGCGGUGAAAUGCGUAGAUAUGUGGAGGAACACCAAUGGCGAAGGCAGCUCUCUGGCCUGAUACUGACGCUGAGGUGCGAAAGCGUGGGGAGCAAACAGGAUUAGAUACCCGGGUAGUC
rnacentral:rRNA from 1 species